ensembl:lncRNA
AAAGCCUCUGAGCCCAGCUGUCCUGCAGUAAUGGCACUCACCAUAUCUGCAUGGAUAUAGGAAAGGGAAAAAAAAAAAAAAGCAUGAACCUGGGCCAAGCAGGGAUCUGGCAGUUUUGUUCAUAAAGCAGUGACCAAUAAACAGUGACACAAGGGUUUUCAAGAUUACUUCAACAAUAAAUCUGCACCAUUUGCUUUUAAAAUAAAAGCACCCCUACAGUCUUCUAUAUAUAAAAUUCCGUAGACCUCAAGGACAUUUUUCCAUCCCAAUCUGCUCUGCUGACUGCAAAGUUUUGCCAACCAGAAGGAUGCAAUUUCCAAAAAAUGAAUCCAGUCAGUGAAUGAUAAUAGGUCCCUGUUGUACUGCAGCACAACCAGCAACAACACAAUGAUCCAGUGGCAUCAGAGAAGCCUUGGCUCUGCAAGCAACAGUCCAUCAGUGAUCAGGUAAGAGCCCUAGCUUGCAUUGUCUAAGUUUUACUGUAGUAGCAGCUCUUCUAAAACCGAUGGAUAAAAAUUCUUCUUUUCCUAUCAAAGGUUUCAUUUUCCUACCAAAGGAGUUACUGUCAUAAAUAGACACAUAAAGGAAAGCUUCUAUUCCAUCUUUCCAGACUUUGAUAGCCUUGCUUUCUUCCCUUUUCCACACAGUAGAGAGGAGAGGAAUUGAGCUCUUUCAGAGUUUAUAUUGAUUUUAUUUUCUUUUUCAUAUUCUAUAUUGCAGCAGAAGGAAUGCAGUUUCCUAUUAGCAAAGGACGCACUCCUUUUAACCUAGAGAUGUAAUCUCAAGAAACGUCUUUUGUACAGCAGUAUCUGACCUGGCUUGUUAUAAACUGCACUGCAGAGAGAGUUGAGAAGAAAGCCCCUUUGAUAAAGCAGUUACUUUCUUACUAAGACUGACAUUAAACAGAAAGCAAGCAACCAGUUCUAACCACUGCCAAGGAGAACAGAUGGAUACCCAGCCACUACCAAAAUGUAAAGCUGUAAAGUAUAACUUCCUGGGCAAAUCCUGAAUCCCAUCUGAAAUGGAGUUUGGUUACUUUGCAUAAUGAAGUUGGUAUGUUUUAUCUUUGAUGCUAAUAUACAAGGGCUUCUCUAAAGGUAACGCCUCCUGUUUUAUUAUGUUAGCCCAGAACGCAAUACUGCACGUUGACAAUCAAGGUUGAGUCUUUCCAUCAAUAUUCCAUUAUACUUCAUUCUUAAAUUACAUUUGUGACAGCAGCUCAGAACUUGCUCUAUCAAAUAGUGCUAUUGUACUCUUUGUAUCAGUUGUAAUUUCCACAGAAAUAAAUAGGAAGAGGUACUUUCAGAGCAACUUACAUCUAUUCAAAAGCCUACAGAAUGGCAAAAGCUUGCCAGAGAGCCUACCUGAUUUCUUUGUUGAGAUAAAAAAAAAUAGUGAUGCCUCACUAGUUAUUUGAUUUAUGUGAUAAGACUGGACAAUGUCAAUUGCUCUCAUCGGUCUUUGAUCAGCUCAUAGAAUAAAUAGCAAAACUGAUUUCUGUUUUUUGUGCUAUCCAAAAAGAUAGAUCUCCAAGUAGAGACCCUUCCCUUGUGGCUGCUAGCCUUUAAAUGAGGCUUAGGGAGGGGUGCAGCCUUGUUCUGGUCGCAAGGGUGAAUUGCUUUCAUCUGUGCUCUCAGGGGUGGUUGUUUCCCUUCACCAGGUGCUCAGUCAUCAGUUCAGGCUAUGACUUAGUCAAUCCCAUACAGUACCUUUUCAAAAUUAGAUUUGUUCAGUCUUGAAGCAUUAACUUGGUGUCACAGACUUCUCAGAGAAGAGAGAAAAGUUAAUUUCUCACUCAUGUGACUUAAAGAGAUUCUAUUCUGUCUACUAGAACUUCGCUAACUGCCCACUUGGACCAAUUGUUAUUGUUGUAACCUCUAUCUCAGUUGUAGCUAAGCGGUGUCCCUGCUUGUUCCCUGCUAAGGAAGGGGAUCAGCAGAUACCAACCUGUAGGUCUGAGCUGAUCAGUUACUGUCCUCAGUCACCAUUGACCUUGGGCUGGUUGGAAACAAUAAAAUAAAGACUGUUUUAUAACCAUUUAUUAUAUAAAAAUAUAAUAAAUGGCAAGUUGAUAUUUUGGAGU